CCCCGCCGCCUCGACCUCGCAGUGGUAGCGGCGCGAGCGAAGGGCCGUUGGGGCGAGACUCCAGAGCAGGGGAACUAACCAUUGCAAGCCUGAAUUCAUUCAUCCAACAGAUACUGAAUGAUGAUCUGCACAUCAGAAAAGGCCGCACAGUGAGGGGCAUUUAUAAAAAGGAUCCACUUCCUGGCUACAAAUCAUAACUGCUCUUAGCUGUGACCCCAAGACUGCACACAGUGAUGCCCUCAGUUCCAGAGUCACGCUCAAGGAAUUCUAGCAUUCCUGAGGAAAUCCAGCCACACCCCUGACUGGUAGACAACCUCGCACCAGCCCACAACACGUGCCCCAUUCUCCAGCUUCACAGGGCUAUGUGCUACUGCCACAGGUGCUUCCCAAAGCCAGGAAAAAUGUUCAGAGAUACAUUUUUUUUCCCCCACAGUAACAAGGCAGUCUCAACUUAAGUCCUACAAAGAAUCCUUCAGAAGCCCCAAAUCCCUUUGGAUAGGACUUCAUUAAUCCUCAAGUGGCCUUCUGGUUUUUGGACUCAGUCACUCACCCAGGGAGGGAUCCUCUCUGCCCCUGGCCUACUCUGCUUCGGGCACCAGCUUGCUUCAUAAAAGUUCUAGGCUGCCCCUGAGCCUCCACAAGUGCUCCUGAGCACGCCCUGGGCACACCGGCAAGUUCUCAGCCGCCAGAACCAAGAAGCUGGUAACCUUAUUGUGGGACAACACACUGAAGGCUCAUACUAUAAUACCAGUAUUUGUGACCUGAAUUUUCUGGGAUCCCCAGUGAAGGUGUGAUACAAUAAAUGACGGACAAGUCAUCUAUAAUGAAGGAUGGCCAGGUGACCACAAUAAACUCUGAUGCUGUGGUUUUCAA